AACGAACGCUGGCGGCAGGCUUAACACAUGCAAGUCGAACGCGUGUAGCAAUACACGAGUGGCGCACGGGUGCGUAACGCGUGGGAACCUUCCUCGUAGUUCGGAAUAACCCAGGGAAACUUGGGCUAAUACCGGAUACCUCCUUCGGGAGAAAGAUUUACCGCUAUGAGAUGGGCCCGCGUCAGAUUAGGUAGUUGGUAGGGUAACGGCCUACCAAGCCGACGAUCUGUAGCUGGUCUGAGAGGAUGAUCAGCCACACUGGGACUGAGACACGGCCCAGACUCCUACGGGAGGCAGCAGUGGGGAAUAUUGGACAAUGGGGGCAACCCUGAUCCAGCCAUGCCGCGUGAGUGAAGAAGGCCUUCGGGUUGUAAAGCUCUUUCGACGGGGACGAUGAUGACGGUACCCGUAUAAGAAGCCCCGGCUAACUACGUGCCAGCAGCCGCGGUAA
rnacentral:rRNA from 1 species